AUUGAACGCUGACGGCAGGCCUAACACAUGCAAGUCGAACGAGUGGCGGAAGGGUGAGUAAUGUCUGGGAAACUGCCUGAUGGAGGGGGAUAACUACUGGAAACGUUAGCUAAUACCGCAUACCAUCGGAUGUUCCCAGAUGGGAUUAGCGAGUGGGUGGGGUAACGGCUCACCUAGGCGACGAUACCGAGCUGGUCGGAGAGGAUGACUAGCCAGACUGGAACGGAGAAAGGGCACAGACUCCCACGGGAGGCAGCAGUGGGGAUAAGUGCACCAUGGGCGAAAGCUUGAGACAGACAUGCCGCGUGUAUGAAGCAGGACUUCUGUGUGUAAAGUACUGUUAGCGGGGAGGCGUUACCAGCAGAAGAAGCAACGGCUAACUCCGUGCCAGCAGCCGCGGUAAUUC
rnacentral:rRNA from 1 species